ACUGAGUGCAUGUGUUGCUCCCCAAGGAGAUGCCACGGGCCCUCCAGCUGAGCACCAGCCCCAAGGAGAACUUUGGUCCUCUUUGUCCCUUUCACAGCCAAACUGGAGAUGGAAAGGAACAUCUGUCUCAACAGAGAUUGAGAAGCAUCUGGAUCUGACCUCAGAGGCAGCUGGAGUUAAGUGAAGACAAGGGAACUGCUGCCAAGGAGAGGCCAUCAAGUGAAGCCAGCACGGGAGAGGAUUCAGCCUCUUCAUGGAAAUAAUAUUUCCUCUUCUAUGUCUGCUGCACUUGGCACACAGUGGAGUCUCAUUACUCAACAGAGACUCUACGUGCCACGAAAAAUAAAUAAUUAAACUCCAGCUAUUCCAGUAGCAAAGAUUGGCUUUAUGAUAUCUGGCAUGGUACAUGGCCUGGGAGUUCCACACAAAUACUCGAGAAGGAUGAAAGGCUGUUUAGCUUCCACCAAAAGAGAGAAGAAACACACACCUGCCUCCCUGAGAUUCUCCAGCUCCACAGCUCUGAGGGCAGUGCUGCACUGGCAUUCCUAGAAACUGUGGGUAAAGGCAGAAUUUGGGGGGCCAGUGGGGCACAUCUCUGUCUGAUCAGUUUUGCUCUUGCGUCUAGAUUCUGCAGCUUCUUCUCAUCUGUGAUUUACUGUGUUUUCCCCUGAAAAUAUAUCUUCCCUCACCCUGGGGAAGUGUGAGGAAAUCUCUGAGUUUUCUCUUCCACACAUGCUGUAGCUUCUACCCCAAGUACUUUCGGUGUUCGAGUAACGAUGUGAAAAAGGCCACCCCCCAAUUUGGAUGUAAGGGGAAUGACUCCAUCAGGAGUUUCAAACGAAAGCUGAUGGAGGGACAGGUUACGCCAACCAGACCUUGCGGCUCCGACUCGUGUCAGAAGUGCAUUAACCCCUGCUGAUGCCCCACAGGCACUGUGGAGACGGCGGCACACAGCCACCUGAGCUGCUGGCAGGGAAAGCCUUUGUGCAGCUGGAGGGGCGCUGCCAGCGGGCCAGGGGCCGGCUCCCGGCAGCACCCUCUGUGCCCCAGUGCCACGUACCUCUGCCUUGCUUUGGCGAGGACGGCCGUCACCUGGUCCUUUGCAAUGAGGACCUGGCUUCCAGAUUUUUAAACAUAAGGGAGGGGAAUCCAGAAGGCUGACAGCAAAACAGUGAUGAAGAUUCAUUGCUACAAUGACCAGAGACAGAGGAUGCAGAGAAAAGCAGCUUCACAUGAUUUGUGUCAGAAAGGUACCUGCUGUAAAUCAGAGCAGUUCUAAAGAUGCUGUGAUCUACAGCAGCCUCCUAAGGCAAACCAGAACCCCCAUUCAUAAGCAAUAUAUCUGUUUAUGUAAAGAGGGGAAAAUAUUACAGGUCUCACAGUGCUCUUUCCUGCCAAGGAAAAAUCUGAAGCAUUAAAUGUGCAGAGUGGCUUGGUGAAUCAAAGCUGGGCAAAGGCUUUAAAUGCGCCACGUGUUCCUUGCUGGAGCUCCGUUGCUGGCAGCUGAUGGCAGUUCACUACUGGCUCUGGACAGUGCAAAAAGCACUCUCAAUGACAGCGAGGGAAGAGGAGAAAAACCCUCCCCUUCCUUAAAACUGGAUUGAGGAAAUGGAUCCUUAACAUGGUGGACUGUGACUAGGGCCCUGCUUUUGAAACGUGAUCCACGUGUGCAAAUCCCACACAGACCAGAUGCCAAAACCGCAGUGAUUCUUUUGACAUUUCAGUUGAGAAAGAGAACAAAUGUGUUCUGUAUUCAUCUGUUCUUUUUUUUGAAACAAAACCAAUUAAAUUAACUUUGAAACAAGGGCUUUGAUUGCUAUCUCUGUGGCGUCAUCUUUACGUUGAUGUAAUUCUAUAGACUGAUGGCAUCACUGCUGAUUUGCACUGGUGUAAGAACAAUCGGGCUCUGUGUUUUCCGGGCAGCGAAGCUGCUUGUGUUUUGUGUAAAGA